UCCUAAAUACAAGACCUGAGUUUAAACAAUAGGACAAACUUUAAUAAAGUCGAUAAAAAUUGACAGACACAAUCGAAGAUCUGUCGUCAACACUAAGGAAAAAACGUUAAGAGAAAAAUAAAGACAAGGCUCCUUACUUAAGAAUGGUAUAUCAACAUGAAGCUGAUGGUCAAUUAAAGGACGUUUAUGCAAGUAGGUGCAGG
rnacentral:lncRNA from 1 species